GGAGUCCAACGUGCGCGGGAGUAAAUGGGAGCAAACUACUAAACCCAAAGGCGAAGCGAAAGCGAAGGACGACUGGGCGCCGUCCUCCUCUCGGGGUGGAGGUUGGCGUCCCGCAUCGACCGUAUGGAGGAUGUGCCGCCGUUUUAAACGAUCCAGCGGCCCCGCAUUCCCGAGGCGUCUCCGCGAGGCACCGUCGCGCUCGGCGUUCGCUCGUCGUCGCGUCGGUGCCGGAGGCGCAUAUAGCGCGCUCGCUGGGACCCGAAAGAUGGUGAACUAUGCCUGGUCAGGACGAAGUCAGGAGAAACCCUGAUGGAGGUCCGCAGCGAUUCUGAUGUGCAAAUCGAUCGUCAGAACUGGGUAUAGGGGCGAAAGACCAAUCGAACCAUCUAGUAGCUGGUUCCCUCCGAAGUUUCCCUAAGGAUAGCUGGCGCUCGCUCUCAAUGCGACAUAGAGUCUCAUGCGGUAAAGCGAAUCGGGGUCGAAACGACCUCAACCUAUUCUCAAACUUUAAAUGUGUGAGAUCUCCGGCUUGCCCGACACGCGAAGCCGCGAGAUCGGAUCUAGAGUGCCAAGUGGGCCAUUUUUGGUUAGCAGAACUGGCGCUGUGGGAUGAACCAAACGCGAAGUUAAAGCGUCCAAAUCGACGCUCAUUGUAAACCAGAAAAGGCGUUGGUAACUCAGGACAGCAGGACGGUGACCCUGGAA
rnacentral:rRNA from 1 species